rnacentral:rRNA from 1 species
GACGAACGCUGGCAGCGUGCUUAACACAUGCAAGUCGAACGGAAAGGCCCUGCUUUUGUGGGGUGCUCGAGUGGCGAACGGGUGAAUAACACGUGAGUAACCUGCCCUUGACUUUGGGAUAACUUCAGGAAACUGGGGCUAAUACCGGAUAGGAGCUCCUGCUGCAUGGUGGGGGUUGGAAAGUUUCGGCGGUUGGGGAUGGACUCGCGGCUUAUCAGCUUGUUGGUGGGGUAGUGGCUUACCAAGGCUUUGACGGGUAGCCGGCCUGAGAGGGUGACCGGCCACAUUGGGACUGAGAUACGGCCCAGACUCCUACGGGAGGCAGCAGUGGGGAAUAUUGCACAAUGGGCGGAAGCCUGAUGCAGCAACGCCGCGUGCGGGAUGACGGCCUUCGGGUUGUAAACCGCUUUCGCCUGUGACGAAGCGUGAGUGACGGUAAUGGGUAAAGAAGCACCGGCUAACUACGUG